CUAAAGGGCACCUGGGGUGUUGCCAAGUUCUUUCAGCUUAAUAAAAACCCUAAUUGAGGAGUCUCUAGCUGCUUGCUCACACCUGCUUUUACUCUGUGAGUUGUACUUUUGCUUCUUCAAUAAAUCUGUGCCUUUGUUACUCCGUUCUUUUGUUGUUUUGCUUGUGCGUUUUGUUUAAUUCUUUGUUUGAAACCCCAAGAACCUGGACAACUCACAGUCAAGACCUUCCGUCCGGUAACAAAGCAACAGACCUCAGUCAUGUCAUCUGCUUACAAAGGAGCCACGAAUCAAGACCGAUUCCGUGUGCUCUUGACGAUUCUGUUACACUCCUGCAGGUUUCCAUUCCUGUGUUAUGUUCAGAGAAUGCACUGUAUUUGCAUUUGAAAUGUGCCUACUUUGACAGUUCCUAGCAAUUGGUCAGUAGGAGGCUGGAGCUUGAAAAAUGCGUAGGAGGAAGGUGAAAUAGAAUGGGAUGGCUGCAAAGAGGAAGAGGGAGUGGGAAUCCCAAGCAAUUUUCAGUUUUGCUACCACUAAGAUUCUUUUUUUGUUUGUUUGUUUUUUGUUUUUUGAGACGAAGUCUUGCUCUUGUCCCUAAGGCUGGAGUGCAAUGGCAUGAUCUCGGCUCACUGGUUCAAGCGAUUCUCCUGCCUCAGUCUCCCGAGUAGCUGGGAUUGCCACC
rnacentral:lncRNA from 10 species